AUUGAACGCUGGCGGCAGGCCUAACACAUGCAAGUCGAACGAGUGGCGGACGGGUGAGUAAUGUCUGGGAAACUGCCUGAUGGAGGGGGAUAACUACUGGAAACGGUAGCUAAUACCGCAUACCAUCGGAUGUGCCAAGAUGGGAUUAGCUAGGAGGGGGGGUAACGGCUGACCUAGUCGACGAUCCCUAGCUGGUAUGAGAGGAUGAACAGCCACACUGGAACUGAGACAGGGUCCAGACUCAUACGGGAGGCAGCAGUGGUGAAUAGUGCACAAUGGGCGCAAGUCGGAUGCAGCCAUGCCGCGUUUAUGAAGAAGGCCUGCGGGUUGUAAAGCACUUUCAGCGGGGAGGCGUUACCCGCAGAAGAAGCACCGGCUAACUCCGUGCCAGCAGCCGCGGUAAUUC
rnacentral:rRNA from 1 species